rnacentral:tRNA from 1 species
CGGGCUAUUAGCUCAGCGGUAGAGCGCGCCCCUGAUAAUUGCCGGGCGAGGUCUCUGGUUCAAGUCCAGGAUGGCCC